GAUGAACGCUAGCGGCAGGCUUAACACAUGCAAGUCGAGGGGUAUAGGUUUUCGGACCUAGAGACCGGCGCACGGGUGCGUAACGCGUAUGCAAUCUACCUUUCACAGGGGGAUAGCCCAGAGAAAUUUGGAUUAAUACCUCAUAGUAUAGCAGUUUCGCAUGACACCACGAUUAAAGUAUCCACGGUGAAAGAUGAGGAGGCGUCCCAUUAGCUAGAUGGUAAGGUAACGGCUUACCAUGGCUACGAUGGGUAGGGGUCGUGAGAGGGAGAUCCCCCACACUGGUACUGAGACACGGACCAGACUCCUACGGGAGGCAGCAGUGAGGAAUAUUGGUCAAUGGACGCAAGUCUGAACCAGCCAUGCCGCGUGCAGGAUGACGGUCCUAUGGAUUGUAAACUGCUUUUGUACGAGAAGAAACAACAUUACGUGUAAUGUCUUGACGGUAUCGUAAGAAUAAGGAUCGGCUAACUCCGUGCCAGCAGCCGCAGUAACAC
rnacentral:rRNA from 1 species